rnacentral:rRNA from 1 species
GUUAGGAAUAUUGGACAAUGGGCGAAAGCCUGAUCCAGCCAUGCCGCGUGAGUGAUGAAGGCCUUCGGGUCGUAAAGCUCUGUUGCAGGGGAAGAACACAAUGACGGUACCCUGCUAGAAAGGAUCGGCUAACUUCGUGCCAGCAGCCGCGGUAAGACGAGGGAUCCUAGCGUUGUUCGGAAUUAUUGGGCGUAAAGCGGGUGCAGGUGGCUUGGUAAGUCAGAUGUGAAAGCCUGGGGCUUAACCCCAGAAGUGCAUUUGAUACUGCUGAGCUUGAGUGCUGGAGAGGCUAUUAGAAUUCCUGGUGUAGUGGUGAAAUACGUAGAUAUCAGGAGGAAUACCGGAGGCGAAGGCGGAUAGCUGGCCAGACACUGACACUCAGACCCGAAAGCGUGGGGAUCAAACAGGAUUAGAAACCCGUGUAGUCC